CUAUAGCCACCUCACUCAUGCCUCAAAUGAAGAGAAAGCACCAGCUUAUUGCAUUCUUUCUCUUUGCACUCUUCAUUGCUUCUCAGUCUUAUUGCUCCCCUGUGAUUAUGGUUCAUGCUGCAGAUUCAGGCAAGGCAACCAUAUGUAUGUAUACACAACAAACCGAUUCAAACCCAUGCAUGUAUUUUUUGAAUUUAGUAACGAAAAAAACCAUUACUAAUCUGAUAAAAUUUCUAUAAUUUUUAUUUUUUUAUUUAGUGACCAAUUGGGAUCAUAAGUUAACUCCUAUUUGUAUUUCAUACAUCAUAAAAUAUUUAUUUACACUUAGUUCAUCACGAGUUUGAAAUUUAAUUAUACGGAUUUAUUUAUUUUUAUGCUUCAUGCAGUUGAUUUCAGGGUUAGAAAUACACAACAAAAAACAAAUUCAUUUACCAGACAUAUGUUAGCUUAUAGGGUGAGUGAUAUAUAUAUUUAUUUAUUUCUUUUUUUGAAUAGUAUUAAUUUUUAUUUAUUUUGAUAUGGUGAAAAUUGCUUAUUUUGUUUAUGUUGUUUUUGUUUAUGGGAUUGAAGAAAUCUGCAGGAGCACAGGUGAAAGAAAUAAUUCAGAAGGUUCCUUCAGGGCCAAACCCCAUCGGAAAUCGGCACCCACCAUCUAUCCAUGUUUGAGAAUGCAUGGCGACUCUUUUCAUUUUCAUGCUCUUGGUGUAAAAUAGGGGUUGGUGAUCAAACACUUAAGUUCAGCAAUAAGAAGGCAAUUCAGUUCAAAUUUUUUGGUUUUAGAGUUUUUUUUUUUUUCUAUGUUGUUGUAAUAGGAUUUUGAAUAUGAGGGUUGUAAUAUGUUAGAAAUAUAAAAUUAUUGUUGAGAUCCUUAUUCAUAUGUAAGUUUGAGUUUUCCUUUUAAUUUAUUUGUCAAUAUAUUACGAGAGCUUCAAAAAUUUACACUUUAAA
rnacentral:lncRNA from 1 species